UCCCUUGAAAAAUAGCUUAAUUUUGCUAAUUUUUCUCCUUCCCCUUAUUUUUGUGCCGACCAUGCCUUUUAACCUAGGUUCAAAUAUCAUUUUUUCACUUAUUUUUCAGCCUUAAGUCUAUUUUUCGCCUACCCUAACUGUUCUCCUCUCCUCUCUUAUUUUUCUCUCAAAAUUUCUUCCUUUUUUUCGAAUUUCGUCACAGUUGUGUCGCCCCAUUGUUAGAGUUUUUUUCUUUAGUUUUUAUUAUCCAGCCACCCUAUUGAACGUCUAGACCUCCUAAACCAUCCUUAUUUUCUUCCCUAAAAUUCCCUUUUUUUCGGCUCCUAAUAGCCUCCUUUACUGUCCAUUGCCACCCCCUCUCCCUUGUUCGUAUCAAGGCUGGUAAAUCCUAUUUUUCUUUCUCUGUUCUUAUGCUUUGUGUGCCGAUUUUUGGCUACUAUCAUAUCCAAUAAGUCAUCAUUUCAGCCCUUAAAAUUUUUAUUUUUGGUUGUCCAAAGAUCCCUCCUUGUGCCAGCCCAGAUCUGCCUUUUUUGUCGCCUCAAAUGGUGUUGCCACCCCCUUAGAGCACCAUUGUUUUGGGAUUGUUGUUUCUCUUCAAUUUUUUCCCCUACUAUUUUAAAUUUUUGGAUUUUCCCUCUAUUUGGAUCUGACUUAAACAUUCCUAAUUGAGUAAUUGACUAAUAUAUUCAUCCAACAACUCAGAUCAGGGUAAUGGGUAGUCCAAAGUGUAAACUUGUGCGAGAUCUUGCACUGUUUCUCUUUGUUACUAAUUUCUUCUUUGGUCGAUUGCUUUAAAGUCUGAAUGGGGAUUUUUGGCUACUAAUUUUUGGGGAUUAAUUAUGUUUAGGUGUUGAUUUAAAUGUCUCUUAUCAUCAGUGACUACAGAUCUCUUUUGCACAUAUGUUUCGCAUCAAAUCAGUGUAACAUACGCGUUAAAAGCGUAAGGUCCAAGCUUGGGAGCUUCAUAUCACAAUUCACUUGAGGUUGUAACAUAUUUAUAUUAGUGUUAUUCUAUAAGGAUUUUGGCAUAUACAUAAGGACCUAAUUUGAUUGUGGUAUUUGUAAAAUUUGAUUUGAAAAUUUAAGUUGUUUUAAUGUAAUUAUUUAAAUUUUAUUUCA